rnacentral:rRNA from 1 species
GCCGGGCGUAAGCCCGCCUGGAGCCGCCUCCGGCGCAGAUCUUGGUGGUAGUAGCAAAUACUCAAGUGAGAACCUUGAGGACUGAGGUGGAGAAGGGUUCCAUGUGAACAGCAGUUGAACAUGGGUCAGUCGGUCCUAAGGGAUAGGAGAAAUCCGUUCCGAGGCGGGACCUCUCAAUAUACGAAAGUCCCGCUGAUGACCGAAAGGGAAUCGGGUUAAUAUUCCCGAACCCGGACGCGGAGAUCGUCCUCUUCGGAGGUACAUUGCGGUAACGCAAACGAGCUCGGAGACGUCGACGGGAGCACCGGGAAGAGUUAUCUUUUCUUUGUAAGGAUUCGACUCCCUGGAAUCGGCUCGCCCGGAGAUAGGGAUGGUGUUUCCGUAAAGCACCGCGCCUCUUGCGGUGUCCGGAUCGCUCCCGUCGGCCCUUGAAAAUCCGAGUGAGAGAUAGUGAUUUUCGUGCCGGACCGUACCCAUAUCCGCAGCAGGUCU